rnacentral:rRNA from 1 species
CGUAGGAGGCAAGCGUUAUCCGGAUUCACUGGGCGUAAAGCGCGUGCAGGUGGCUCGGUAAGUUGGGCGUGAAAUCUCCCGGCUCAACUGGGAGAGGUCGUUCAAUACUACCGAGCUUGAGAGCAGAAGAGGAAGAUGGAAUUCCCGGUGUAGUGGUGAAAUGCGUAGAUAUCGGGAGGAACACCAGUGGCGAAGGCGAUCUUCUGGUCUGUUUCUGACACUCAGACGCGACAGCUAGGGUAGUAAACGGGAUUAGAGACCCCGGUAAUCCUAGCCGUAAACGAUGUGAACUUGGCGUUGGUGGGUUAAACUCCAUCAGUGCCGAAGCAAACGCGAUAAGUUCACCGCCUGGGGACUACGGCCGCAAGGUUA